UACGUAGGGGGCAAGCGUUGUCCGGAUUUAUUGGGCGUAAAGAGCGUGUAGGCGGCCAUACAGGUCAGCUGUGAAAACUCGAGGCUCAACCUCGAGACGUCGGUUGAAACCGUAUGGCUAGAGUCCGGAAGAGGAGAGUGGAAUUCCCGGUGUAGCGGUGAAAUGCGCAGAUAUCAGGAGGAACACCGGUGGCGAAGGCGGGUCUCUGGGCCGAUACUGACGCUGAGACGCGAAAGCGUGGGGAGCGAACAGG
rnacentral:rRNA from 1 species